rnacentral:rRNA from 1 species
GAUGAACGCUAGCGACAGGCCUAACACAUGCAAGUCGAGGGGCAGCACAUGAGUAGCAAUACGAUGGUGGCGACCGGCGCACGGGUGAGUAACACGUAUGCAACCUGCCUUCUACUAUGGGAUAACCCGUUGAAAGACGGACUAAUACCGUAUAAUACAGGGGCUCCGCAUGGAGAUAUUUGUUAAAGAUUUAUUGGUAGAAGAUGGGCAUGCGUAUGAUUAGAUAGUUGGUGAGGUAACGGCUCACCAAGUCAACGAUCAUUAGGGGUUCUGAGAGGAAGGUCCCCCACACUGGUACUGAGACACGGACCAGACUCCUACGGGAGGCAGCAGUGAGGAAUAUUGGUCAAUGGACGAGAGUCUGAACCAGCCAAGUCGCGUGAAGGAAGACGGUUCUAUGAAUUGUAAACUUCUUUUGUGCAGGAAUAAAGUGGGUUACGUGUUACCUUUUGUAUGUACUGUACGAAUAAGGAUCGGCUAACUCCGUGCCAGCCGCCGCGGUAACAC